GGGGAAAAGAAACAGUGUGCUCAUCAGACAAAUUCCUUUUGAGAGUACAUUCAAGAAGCUCCUACUUUCCAGUGUGAGAAAUCCAGCUCCAAAGUGUUUCUGGAAAAAGUUGUGAGUUGUGGAUCACCGGCUUUCCAAAGAAGGGAGAGGAAAAGCAGAAACAACAGGAAACUAUCAAGCAGAUUACCGUAUCCUAGGCAAUUCCUCAUAAGACAAAAGACUAACGCAGAGCUGAGUUAUCAGGAAAUGACACUACAUAAUCAAUCCCAUCAUUUCUAUAACCAGUUCCAGGUUUGCAAGUACCCUUUCCAAUCUAAACCUGCUGUUUUCAGCAACUUUCAUCCUCCAACAGGAGACGACCGCUACUUCGUGCACCAUCUAAUAUUUGUGCACCAUCUGACAUUUUAGUUUUUGGAAAGAGACUCCAUCCCAGCCAGACCCAACACAGAGACUUGCAGUAUGAGUUGUUCGCUUGAACCAUGACUCAUCAUGGCUCGCAGUCACACCCAAGCAAACGAUGAACGGACUGGCCAAUCGCUCGGGAACAGGAGGAAAUCCAGAUAGGCACGGCAGAUGGGCUAAGAUUGGCUGCCUCCUCUUGCUGGAUCACCGCAGUGACAUACAUGUUUGUAAUCACUCCAGCUUCUCGACUGAGGCUCCAGCUUGUUGUGUCUAAUUUCAAUGAGGAAAGUACUUACUCAGUUCUUCAGUCUGACUAUGAGUGAGAAACAAGCUAUUACACCAUAAUUUCUUUCUCUAUUGUGUGGGAAGUCGGCAUUGCAUCAUCCCUAGGACUGAGAACAAGAGAUGAAGAUCCCUUCUUGGUGGGUGCGGUCCAAGGUUUGGUAGUCUAUCUUCAAGUCAGAGAUAUGCAGCUUCUGGAAGGAGACUGUGGCAUCUGCCCUCUGUGGCAUCCUUGAACAGACAAGCAGAUGGAGUUUACCCCCCUCCCGUGUGGCCAACAGGAUCCCCGCCCCCAGU